GCUGGUGUGUACUGGCAUUACUGGGACAUGUGUUCUCUCCAGAGCUGAGUCAGGAAAUGACACCAGGCUUAUGUAGUAUAAAAGCACGACCCAAGAAUGGUGUAAGCUGCAGAGCUGGGGCUGUGGAUUGGUGUCAGUGUCACAAGUGCUUCCAGGUAAUGCUGAGUCUCAGCAACUUCGUGAGAGCUGGAUGUGAUGGGCUUGUGCCACUGCAAAAGGAUUUUCACAAAGAGCUCAGGAAGUGUUAUGCUUAAAAAAGAAAUACAAAACUCAUUGCAGAACCCGUUGAAGCUUUUAUGGCCUGUAGGCUGUCAGCAUUUCCAUCGUGGUUCCCUGCAUGCAGAAGUUGACAAUUCAGCUAUAAAUAAUCACUGCUGGUUGGAAAUUGGGAAAACUCCUUUCCUGGGAGUUACAGACGUGGUCCCUGCCAAGGCAGUAUAUCUCAGUGAUACAGAGACGGACCGAGAUUGUUUCCCAUUUCCCAUCAACAGCCAAGGGAUGUGGCAAAGGAAUAUUACAGGGCCCUGA
rnacentral:lncRNA from 1 species